AAUGUUGGACUAUGGGGGAAACCCUGCUCCAGCCAUCCCGUGUGUAUGAUGAAGGCCUUCGGGUUGUAAAGUACUUUUGGUAGAGAAGAAAAGGUAACUACUAAUACGAGAUACGGAUGACGGUAUCUGCAGAAUAAGCACCGGCUAACUACGUGCCGGGAGCCGCGGUAAUACGUAAGGUGCAAGCGUGAAUCGGAAUUACUGGGCUUGAAGCGUGUGUAGGCGGUUCGGAAAGAAAGAUGUGAAAUCCCAGGGCUCAACCUUGGAACUGCAUUUUUAACUGCCGAGCUAGAGUAUGUCAGAGGGGGGUAGAAUUCCACGUGUAGCAGUGAAAUGCGUAGAUAUGUGGAGGAAUACCGAUGGCGAAGGCAGCCCCCUGGGAUAAUACUGACGCUCAGACACGAAAGCGUGGGGAGCAAACAGG
rnacentral:rRNA from 1 species